UACGAAGGGUGCAAACGUUGCUCGGAAUUAUUGGGCGUAAAGCGCACGUAGGCGCUUUGUAAGUUGGAUGUGAAAGCCCUCGGCUCAACCAAGGAAGUGCAUCCAAAACUACAAAGCUUGAGUACUUAAGAGGAUCGCGGAAUUCCUGGUGUAGCAGUGAAAUGCGUAGAUAUCAGGAGGAACACCGAUGGCGAAGGCAGGUCUCUGGGCCACUACUGACGCUGAGAAGCGAAAGCAUGGGGAGCGAACAGG
rnacentral:rRNA from 1 species